rnacentral:rRNA from 1 species
CCUGGUUGAUUCUGCCAGUUGUCAUAUGCUUCGGUCAAAGACUUAGCCAUGCAUGUGUAAGUAUAAGCAAUUUUAUACGGCGAAACUGCGAAUGGCUCAUUAAAUCAGCAAUAAUUUAUUUGGUGGUAUCUUUACAUGGAUAACCGUGGAAAAUCUAGGGCUAAUACAUGCAAAUAGCAGCCCCGGCUUCGUGCAGGGGUGCGCCUAUUAGACUCUUUCCAACCUCGGUCGAAAGAUCGAGCUGGUGAUUCAUAAUAGUGUCGCGGAUCGCAUGGUUUCAUACCGGCGACGCACCAUUCAAAUUUCUGCCCCAUCAACUUUUAACCGUAGGAUAGGGGCCUACGGUGGUGAUAACGGGUAACGGAGGAUUAGGGUUCGAUCCCGGAGAGGCCAGCCUGAGAAACGGCUACCACAUCCAAGGACGGCAGCAGGCGCGCAAAUUACCCAAUCCGCAUAGCGGGAGGUAGUGACAACCAAUAUCAAUGCUGGGCUCUAAGAGCUCGCAAUUGAAAUGACUGUAGUACAAAAACCUCAGAGAGGAACUAAUGGAGGGCAAGUCUGGUGCCAGCAGCCGCGGUAAUUCCAGCUCCAUGAGUGUAUACAAAAGUUGCUGCGGUUAAAAAGUUCGUAGCUGGAUUUGGAGUUUGUUCGUGGUGCGGGUCUAGUACCCCCGAUCGAACGGCUCUCCUUCUGAAGCCAAUGGUUUCGGAUUUAUUACUUUGAAAAAAUUAGAGUGUUCAAAGCAGGUCUAUGCAGCUGAAUACAUUAGCAUGGAAUAAUGGAAUAGGAUUCAGGUUCUAUUUUGUUGGUUAAUAGAACUCGAAUAAUGAUUAAUAGGGACGAUUGGAGGCAUCUGUACCCCAACGCUAGGGGUGAAAUUCAGGAAUUGUUGGGUGACACACUAAUGCGAAAGCAUUUGCCUAGGGCGUUCCCAUUAGUCAAGAGCGAAAGUCGAGGGAGCAAAGGCGAUCAGACACCGCCGUAGUCUCGACCAUAAACUAUGCCGACUAGGGAUCCGAGAGGAUUCGUUAAUCGACUUCUUGGGCACCUUACGAGAAAUCAAAGUCUAUGGGGUCCGGGGGGAGUACGUUCGCAAGGAUGAAACUUAAAGAAAUUGACGGAGCGGCACCACAAGGGGUGGAGCCUGCGGCUCAAUUUGACCCAACACGGGAAAACUUACCAGGGCCGGACACAGUCAGGAUUGACAGCUUGAGAGUGCUUUCAUGAUUCUGUGAAUAGUGGUGCAUGGCCGUUCUUAGUUGGUGGUGUGAAUUGUCUGGUUAAUUCCGAUAACGAACGAGACCUCUGCCUGCUAACUAGACUGACUCAAUUUCAUUGGGGAUAGUCUUCUUAGGGGGACUGCCCGCGUUAAGCGGGAGGAAGUAGAGGCAAUAACAGGUCAGAGAUGCCCUUAGAUGUCCUGGGCCGCACGCGCGCUACAAUGACUGGAACAACGAGCUAUCCUAAGCUGAAGAGCAUUGGGUAAUCUUAAAAAUCCAGUCGUAUCGAGGAUUGGGGUUUGCAACUAUCCCCCAUGAAAUAGGAAUCCCUCGUAGGCGUAUGUCAUCAGCAUACACCGAAUACGUCCCUGCCGCUUGUACACACCGCCCGUCGCUCCAACCGAUGAAGGUUGCAG